UGGCUCAGUUGGUAGAGCUUGGUGUUUGCAAUGCCAGGGUUGUGGGUUCGAUUCCCAC
rnacentral:tRNA from 1 species